UUAUUACGGAAUACAAGUUACAACGUAUAAUACCCACAACAAAGUAACAACACACUAAUUGUAGAUAGAUAACAUAGAAGAAGGUAACUAGAAGGGGAUGAGAUUCUAGACCAUAGAAAGGAGAUGAGAGGAUCAGAAAGCCAAAGCUUCACAUAAUUUGCAUAAACCUAUUUUGCUCUCCCAAGUCUCUAUUUAUCAACCCGGAUCCCACACAUAGCCUUUUAAUUCGGCUUUGGGCUGCUUUGUCAAUACUGGUCUAGGCCCAUUCAUAACAAUACCUUCAGCCCCAAUAAGAACCUUGUCCUCAAGGUUCAAGUAGUACCAAUUUGAUAUCAUUGUGAGGAUUCUCAUUGGAGCUAUUAAGGAAGCUAUACAUACUAACAUCAGCAAGUUAGAAGCAGGUGUAGGCAAUUCUCUUACAACUUUACCAAUCAGCAGUACAUUGCUCCAAAUUAUCACAGUGCGACUCCAACCUUACGCUUUUAGGAGAUAAAGCCUCUGGAUUUUCACCACGAAAUCGUCCUAGUUCCACCGGAGCUGGCCUAUGACGGAGUGUGGGGGCUUCAAGAGUGUCUUUCCCGUGAUGAGGACGAGCAACCUCCAUUGUUGGAUCUCGAAUGUGAGGCCCUGCCGGAACGAACUUUUCGGUAACCUCCUCUAACAUAUGGCGAAUGUCUGCAAUAUCUUUGGAAAAUGACUCUUUCGCCUCCUUAAUGGAUUCAUUGAUGAGAGCCUUGAGUCUUUGGUCCCAUGAGAAACCUCUCAAUGAAUGCACCAAUGUAACAAACUCAAUUUUCAACACAAACACUGAUAUAUAUAUAUAUAUUGUUAUUACGGAAUACAAGUUACAACGUAUAAUACCCACAACAAAGUAACAACACACUAAUUGUAGAUAGAUAACAUAGAAGAAGGUAACUAGAAGGGGAUGAGAUUCUAGACCAUAGAAAGGAGAUGAGAGGAUCAGAAAGCCAAAGCUUCACAUAAUUUGCAUAAACCUAUUUUGCUCUCCCAAGUCUCUAUUUAUCAACCCGGAUCCCAC
rnacentral:lncRNA from 1 species